rnacentral:rRNA from 1 species
AGGGAAUAGAUACCCAGGUAGUCCACGCUGUAAACGAUGCACAUUAGGUGCUAGGGAGUAUCGACCCUCUUUAGUACCAAAAAGCUAACGCGUUAAAUGUGCCGCCUGGGGAGUACGGCCGCAAGGCUAAAACUCAAAGGAAUUGACGGGGACCCGCACAAGUGGUGGAGCAUGCGGUUUAAUUCGAUGAUAAGCGAGGAACCUUACCUAGGCUUGACAUGUACCUGCAUACAUCAGAGAUGGUGUAGCCUUCGAGGGUGGUACACAGGUGCUGCACGGUUGUCGUCAGCUCGUGCCGUGAGGUGUUCACUUAAGUGUGAAAACGAGCGCAACCCCUAUCAUAAGUUACAAGUGUCUUAUGAAACUGCCGGCGUUUAAGCCGGAGGAAGGCGGGGAGUGACGUCAAAUCAGCGUGGCUCUUACGCCUAGGGCGACACGCGUGCUACAAUGGGAAGUCACAAAGGGACGCCAAGGAGCAAUCC